CCCGGCUGAGAGUGCCGGCUGGGGACCUGAUUGCAAUGUGGGCCUUAGGAUUUGAACCAAAGGAAGAAGAAAUUUUAAAAAUGAUAGCUGAAAUUGAUAAAGAAGGAAUUGGCACCAUUAGUUUUGAAGAUAUUUUUGCCAUUGAAAUGCUUGAUGAAGCUGAUCAUGAUGGAGAUGGAAAAAUAAAUGAGGAAGAAUUUUUGAGAGUGAUGAAAAAGACUACUCUUUAUUAAUAGUGUUGUUUUGGUCCUUGUGG